rnacentral:rRNA from 1 species
UACGUAGGGAGCAAGCGUUGUCCGGAUUUAUUGGGCGUAAAGAGCUCGUAGGCGGUUCGGUAAGUCGGGUGUGAAAACUCUAGGCUCAACCUGGAGAGGCCACCCGAUACUGCUGUGACUUGAGUCUGGUAGGGGAGCACGGAAUUCCUGGUGUAGCGGUGAAAUGCACAGAUAUCAGGAGGAACACCGGUGGCGAAGGCGGUGCUCUGGGCCAGUACUGACGCUGAGGAGCGAAAGCGUGGGUAGCGAACAGG